rnacentral:lncRNA from 1 species
GCCAUAUAGAUUUUGAAAUCUGAACAACAAUCGAACUAACUCAUGAAUGAAACUAUCCACACAUGAAACAGCUGCACAAGCCAGUAAAGUCAACUCUCCCUACAAAUACCAAACGCAUGUGGCUCACCUGCUUGAAAUCCUCCAAGAGUACAAGAGAUGGACCAUAUCUGUCUCCCUCAAACCCAUGUGUUGGAAUCCUAUCCCCCAAUGUGAUGGCAUCAGUAGAUGAGGCCUUCAGGAAGAAAUCAGGUCAUGAGAGUGGAACCCUCAUGAAUGGGAUCAGCACCCUCAUAAGAGCUUCCCCUCUAUCUCUGCUAUUUGCCAUGUGAGGAUACAGGGAGAUGGCUGUCUGCACAUCAGGAAGAAGGCCCUCACCACAUACCAGAUCAGCUUAGCACCUUGAUCUUGGAUUUCCCAGCCUCCAGAACUAUGAGAAAUAAAUGUGUGUUGUUUAAGCCAUG